GGCUGCAGUCGAGGAUCUUCCGCAAUGGGCGCAAGCCUGACGGAGCGACGCCGCGUGGAGGAUGAAGGCCUUCGGGUUGUAAACUCCUGUCACGGGUAAUGAAAGGUGCAACGUGAACAGCGUUGCAAUUGACGUACGCCCGAGAGGAAGCACUGGCUAACUCUGUGCCAGCAGCCGCGGUAAUACAGAGAGUGCAAACGUUGUUCGGAAUUACUGGGCUUAAAGCGCACGUAGGCGGCGCCGCAAGUGCGAGGUGAAAUCCCACGGCUUACCCGUGGAACUGCCUUGCAGACUGCGGUGCUCGAGGAUGGUAGGGGAGAGCGGAACUCCUGGUGGAGCGGUGAAAUGCGUAGAUAUCAGGAGGAACACCGGUGGCGAAGGCGGCUCUCUGGUCCAUUUCUGACGCUGAGGUGCGAAAGCUAGGGGAGCAAACGGGAUUAGAUACCCCGGUAGUCCUAGCCGUAAACGAUGGGCACUAGGUAGGGGGGUACCCAAUGCCUCCCUGCUGGAGUUAACAUAUUAAGUGCCCCGCCUGGGGAGUAUAGUCGCAAGGCUGAAACUCAAAGGAAUUGACGGGGGCUCACACAA
rnacentral:rRNA from 1 species